CGUAGGGUGCAAGCGUUAAUCGGAAUUACUGGGCGUAAGGCGUGCGCAGGCGGCUUUGCAAGACAGAUGUGAAAUCCCCGGGCUCAACCUGGGAACUGCAUUUGUGACUGCAUGGCUAGAGUGCGGCAGAGGGGGAUGGAAUUCCGCGUGUAGCAGUGAAAUGCGUAGAUAUGCGGAGGAACACCGAUGGCGAAGGCAAUCCCCUGGGCCUGCACUGACGCUCAUGCACGAAAGCGUGGGGAGCAAACAGGAUUAGAUACCCUGGUAGUCCACGCCCUAAACGAUGUCAACUGGUUGUUGGACGGCUUGCUGUUCAGUAACGAAGCUAACGCGUGAAGUUGACCGCCUGGGGAGUACGGCCGCAAGGUUG
rnacentral:rRNA from 1 species